rnacentral:rRNA from 1 species
ACGUAUGGUGCAAGCGUUAUCCGGAUUUACUGGGUGUAAAGGGAGCGCAGGCGGUGCGGCAAGUCUGAUGUGAAAGCCCGGGGCUCAACCCCGGUACUGCAUUGGAAACUGUCGUACUAGAGUGUCGGAGGGGUAAGCGGAAUUCCUAGUGUAGCGGUGAAAUGCGUAGAUAUUAGGAGGAACACCAGUGGCGAAGGCGGCUUACUGGACGAUAACUGACGCUGAGGCUCGAAAGUGUGGGGAGCAAACAG